rnacentral:tRNA from 1 species
AACUUGGGAACUGAGUUCAAUUCUCAGUGACUCCACCAAUUAGUGCAUCCAUAGUUUAAACGGGAAAAUUACAGUCUU